UACGAAGGGGGCUAGCGUUGCUCGGAAUCACUGGGCGUAAAGGGUGCGUAGGCGGGUCUUUAAGUCGGGGGUGAAAUCCUGGAGCUCAACUCCAGAACUGCCUUCGAUACUGGCGACCUUGAGUCCGGGAGAGGUGAGUGGAACUCCGAGUGUAGAGGUGAAAUUCGUAGAUAUUCGGAAGAACACCAGUGGCGAAGGCGGCUCACUGGCCCGGUACUGACGCUGAGGUGCGAAAGCGUGGGGAGCAAACAGG
rnacentral:rRNA from 1 species